GCGUUAUACAAAAACUGCUAGUUAAUAUUUUAGGUUUUAUAGUUAUUUAUGAUUUGAUUUUAGUAUUUUUAUUUUUAGGUGAAAUUUAAAUAUUUAUUUAAUUUUUAUUUUUAUAAAUCUAUGAAAUGCAUUUAUUAAACUGGGAUUAGAUACCCCAUUAUUUUGUAUGUUAAUAGUUGCCUGGGUAGUAUUAGUUAUGUUCUUUAAACCUAAAGAAUUUGGCGGUGUUUUAGUCUAUUUAGAGGAACUUGUCCCGUAAUCGAUAGUCCUCGAUUAAUCUUUCUUUUAUUGGUAAUUCAGUAUGUAUACCGCCGUUAUAAGUUUAUAUUAUUAGAUAUUAAUUUACUUAUUAUUUUAUAAAAUUUUAUUUCAGGU
rnacentral:rRNA from 1 species